UCCGUAGGUGGCAAGCGUUGUCCGGAUUUACUGGGCGUAAAGAGCGCGCAGGCGGUCGUUCAAGUCGCGUGUGAAAGCCCCCGGCUCAACUGGGGAGGGUCACGCGAUACUGAUCGACUCGAAGGCAGGAGAGGGUAGUGGAAUUCCCGGUGUAGUGGUGAAAUGCGUAGAUAUCGGGAGGAACACCAGUGGCGAAGGCGACUACCUGGCCUGUUUCUUGACGCUGAGGCGCGAAAGCUAGGGGAGCAAACGGG
rnacentral:rRNA from 1 species